rnacentral:rRNA from 1 species
UACGAAGGGUGCUAGCGUUGUUCGGAAUCACUGGGCGUAAAGCGCGCGUAGGUGGCUAUGCAAGUCAGGGGUGAAAUCCCACAGCUCAACUGUGGAACUGCCUUUGAAACUGCAUAGCUAGAGUGUCGGAGGGGAUAGCGGAAUUGCUAAUGUAGAGGUGAAAUUCGUAGAUAUUAGCAGGAACACCGGUGGCGAAGGCGGCUAUCUGGACGACAACUGACACUGAGGCGCGAAAGUGUGGGGAUCAAACAGG